UCGUAUUUUGUGGAUUGCGUAAUAAUUGUCAUGGUGUACAGCAUGUCAUACAAUGCCCUACUACGUUCCAUAUUUUUUGGACAACAAUGAUGCUAACCCAUGACAUUGGAACAACGAACAUGGAAAUGUGAUAAGCUAAUCCAUUCUAUGUUGUAGCUAGCAAAGCACUUCAGAAUGGUUAAACAAACAUGGAUGUUUUGGUUGCAUUGGGAACUUCAGCCUCAUAAGCGCCCACUAAAUUUUUGUCCACUAACGAGUUAUUGAAUUUUUUUGAUCGAUUUAGUGGGAAGAGGAAAAGAUUUUGAUCCUCAAUUUCAGAUCCUAUAAUAUUCUCAUUUUAUGUAUACAACUUUGAGAUUUUAUUGAUAUAUUUUAUUUUUAUGCCUUAA